rnacentral:lncRNA from 1 species
UUGUGGUGUUGGCUGUCAAUGUUAUUACACCCACGUUAACAGACAGCUGUCAGUAGGGCUGGGAAUUUCCAGGGACCUCAUCAUACUUAGGUGCCGAUACGAUUUGUAUUGUGAUUCUCACAAUUCUAUUUGUAUUGUGAUUCUCACGAUUCUAUUUGUAUUGUGAUUCUCACGAUUCUAUUUGUAUUGUGAUUCGAUACUGUGAUUUCAUUGCGAUUCGAUGUUCCAAACAUUGCUCACCACAUGUCUGCUGCAGAGGGACAAGAGAGCGAGCCAGGAGAAAAUGAGUUUUGAUCAGUCUAUGAAUUAAAAGUGCUGAAAACAAAUUGACUCCCAAUUUAAAAAGAAGAUGGAGAACAACACCUAUGAAGGAAAAAUACUGGAGUUUUUUGUGCUGGUACAGCCAGCCAACUAGCGCAUUAAAUAAUAUUGGGAUAUUGUCAAACUGAUAUUGUCUCAACAUGUCGUCAAAUAAUAUCCCAAUAUGUAAAUUGUUUUAAAGUAAGACACAACUGGUGUUGGAGACUAUCAGUGUCUCUAUGGUGGUGUUGGAGACUGUCAGUGUCUCUAUGGUGGUGUCAUGUCCUCCCACCACCACCACCACAUGGUGUGUCUGGCCCCCCUCCAGACUGUCAGUGUCUCUAUGGUGGUGUUGGGAGACGGUCAGUGUCUCUAUGGUGGUGUUGGACCCUGUCAGUGUGUCUAUGGUGGUGUUGGAGACUGUCAGUGUCUCUAUGGUGGUGUUGGAGACUGUCAGUGUCUCUAUGCUGGUGUUUGAGACUGUCAGUGUCUCUAUGGUGUCUCUAUGCUGGUGUUGAAGACUGUCAUUGUCUCUAUGGCUGGUGUUGGAGACUGUCAGUGUCUCUAUGGUGGUGUUGGAGACUGUCAGUGUCUCUAUGGGUGUUUGGAGACGUCAGUGUCUCUUGCUGGUGUUGGAGACGUGCAGUGUCUCUAUGGUGGUGUUGGAGAGACGUCAGUUGUCUCUAUGGUGGUGUUGGAGACUGUCAGUGUCUCUAUGGUGGUGUUGGGAGACGGUCAGUGUCUCUAUGGUGGUGUUGGACACGGUCAGUGUCUCUAUGGUGGUGUGGACUGUCAGUGUCUAUGGUGGUGUUGGAGAUGUCAGUGUCUCAUGGUGGUGUUGGAGACGUCAGUGUCUCUAUGUGGUGUUUGAGAUGUCAGUGUCUCUAUGCUGGUGUUUGAGACUGUCAGUGUCUCUAUGCUGGUUGUGGAGACUGUUCAGUGUCUCUAUGCUGGUGUGGAGACUGUCAGUGUCUCUAUCUGGUGUGGAGACUGUCAGUGUCUCUAUGCUGGUGUUGGAGACUGUCAGUGUCUCUAUGGUGGUGUUGGAGGACUGUCAGUGUCUCUAUGGUGGUGUUUGGAGAAUGUCAGUGUCUCUAUGGUGGUGUUGGGAGCGGUCAGUGUCUCUAUGGUGGUGUUGGACCCUCAGUGUGUCUAUGGUGGUGUUGGAGAAUGUCGUGUCUCUAUGGUGGUGUUGGAGACUGUCAGUGUCUCUAUGCUGGUGUUGGAGACUGUCAGUGUCUCUAUGGUGGUGUGUUGGAGACUGUCAGUGUCUCUAUGUUGGUGUUGGGACUGUCAGUGUCUCUAUGGUGGUGUUGGAGACUGUCAGUGUCUCUAUGCUGGUGUUUGAGACUGUCAGUGUCUCUCUGCUGUGUUGGGACUGUCAGUGUCUCUAUGCUGUGUGUUGGAGACUGUCAU